rnacentral:rRNA from 1 species
UACGUAGGGUGCGAGCGUUGUCCGGAAUUAUUGGGCGUAAAGGGCUCGUAGGCGGUUUGUCGCGUCGGGAGUGAAAACCCAGGGCUUAACCCUGGGCUGGCUUCCGAUACGGGCAGACUAGAGGUAUGCAGGGGAGAACGGAAUUCCUGGUGUAGCGGUGAAAUGCGCAGAUAUCAGGAGGAACACCGGUGGCGAAGGCGGGUCUCUGGGCCAAAACUGACGCUGAGGAGCGAAAGCGUGGGGAGCGAACAGG